rnacentral:rRNA from 1 species
CCUACGGGUGGCAGCAGUGGGGAAUAUUGCACAAUGGGGGAAACCCUGAUGCAGCGACGCCGCGUGAGUGAAGAAGUAUUUCGGUACGUAAAGCUCUAUCAGCAGGGAAGAAAAUGACGGUACCUGACUAAGAAGCCCCGGCUAACUACGUGCCAGCAGCCGCGGUAAUACGUAGGGGGCAAGCGUUAUCCGGAUUUACUGGGUGUAAAGGGAGCGUAGACGGCAGCGCAAGUCUGGAGUGAAAUCCCAUGGCUUAACCAUGGAACUGCUUUGGAAACUGUGCAGCUAGAGUGCAGGAGAGGUAAGUGGAAUGCCUAGGGUAGCGGUGAAAUGCGUAGAUAUUAGGAGGAACACCAGUGGCGAAGGCGGCUUACUGGACUGUAACUGACGUUGAGGCUCGAAAGCGUGGGGAGCAAACAGGAUUAGAUACCCGGGUAGUC